rnacentral:rRNA from 1 species
CCUACGGGAGGCAGCAGUGAGGAAUUUUCCGCAAUGGGCGAAAGCCUGACGGAGCAAUACCGCGUGAGGGAUGAAGGAUUUUGGUCUGUAAACCUCUUUUCUCAAGAAAGAAGUUCUGACGGUACUUGAGGAAUAAGCAUCGGCUAACUCCGUGCCAGCAGCCGCGGUAAUACGGGGGAUGCAAGCGUUAUCCGGAAUGAUUGGGCGUAAAGCGCCUGUAGGUUGUUUAUUAAGUCCGUUGUUAAAGCCUAGGGCUCAACCCUAGAAAAGCAAUGGAAACUAGUAGACUAGAGUAUGGCAGGGGUAGAGGGAAUUUCUAGUGUAGCGGUGAAAUGCGUAGAUAUUAGAAAGAACACCGGUGGCGAAAGCGCUCUACUGGACCAUUACUGACACUCAGAGGCGAAAGCUAGGGUAGCAAAAGGGAUUAGAUACCCCUGUAGUCCUAGCCGUAAACGAUGGAUACUAGAUGUUGUGCAUUAUGUACAGUAUCGUAGCUAACGCGUUAAGUAUCCCGCCUGGGGAGUACGCUCGCAAGGGUGAAACUCAAAGAUAUGCGUGNGAGAGCGACGACGACGACGACGAGGAGAG